rnacentral:rRNA from 1 species
GGUUAAGUUAGAAAGGGCGCACGGUGGAUGCCUUGGCACUAGGAGCCGAUGAAGGACGGGACGAACACCGAUAUGCUUCGGGGAGCUGUAAGCAAGCUUUGAUCCGGAGAUUUCCGAAUGGGGAAACCCACCACUCGUAAUGGAGUGGUAUCCAUAUCUGAAUACAUAGGAUAUGAGAAGGCAGACCCGGGAACUGAAACAUCUAAGUACCCGGAGGAAGAGAAAGCAAAUGCGAUUCCCUGAGUAGCGGCGAGCGAAACGGGACCAGCCCAAACCAAGAGGCUUGCCUCUUGGGGUUGUAGGACACUCUGUACGGAGUUACAAAGGAACGAGGUAGAUGAAGAGGCCUGGAAAGGCCCGCCAUAGGAGGUAACAGCCCUGUAGUCAAAACUUCGUUCUCUCCUGAGUGGAUCCUGAGUACGGCGGAACACGUGAAAUUCCGUCGGAAUCCGGGAGGACCAUCUCCCAAGGCUAAAUACUCCCUAGUGACCGAUAGUGAACCAGUACCGUGAGGGAAAGGUGAAAAGCACCCGGAAGGGGAGUGAAAGAGAUCCUGAAACCGUGUGCCUACAAGUAGUCAGAGCCCGUUAACGGGUGAUGGCGUGCCUUUUGUAGAAUGAACCGGCGAGUUACGAUCCCGUGCAAGGUUAAGCAGAAGAUGCGGAGCCGCAGCGAAAGCGAGUCUGAAUAGGGCGAAUUGAGUACGUGGUCGUAGACCCGAAACCAGGUGAUCUACCCAUGUCCAGGGUGAAGUUCAGGUAACACUGAAUGGAGGCCCGAACCCACGCACGUUGAAAAGUGCGGGGAUGAGGUGUGGGUAGGGGUGAAAUGCCAAUCGAACCUGGAGAUAGCUGGUUCUCUCCGAAAUAGCUUUAGGGCUAGCCUCAAGGUAAGAGUCUCGGAGGUAGAGCACUGAUUGGACUAGGGGCCCCUACCGGGUUACCGAAUUCAGUCAAACUCCGAAUGCCGAUGACUUAUCCUUGGGAGUCAGACUGCGAGUGAUAAGAUCCGUAGUCGAAAGGGAAACAGCCCAGACCGCCAGCUAAGGUCCCAAAGUAUACGUUAAGUGGAAAAGGAUGUGGAGUUGCUUAGACAACCAGGAUGUUGGCUUAGAAGCAGCCACCAUUUAAAGAGUGCGUAAUAGCUCACUGGUCGAGUGACUCUGCGCCGAAAAUGUACCGGGGCUAAACGUAUCACCGAAGCUGCGGACUGUUCUUCGAACAGUGGUAGGAGAGCGUUCUAAGGGCUGUGAAGCAAGACCGGAAGGACUUGUGGAGCGCUUAGAAGUGAGAAUGCCGGUAUGAGUAGCGAAAGAGGGGUGAGAAUCCCCUCCACCGAAUGCCUAAGGUUUCCUGAGGAAGGCUCGUCCGCUCAGGGUUAGUCGGGACCUAAGCCGAGGCCGAAAGGCGUAGGCGAUGGAUAACAGGUUGAUAUUCCUGUACCACCUCCUCACCAUUUGAGCAAUGGGGGGACGCAGGAGGAUAGGGUAAGCGCGGUAUUGGAUAUCCGCGUCCAAGCAGUUAGGCUGGGAAAUAGGCAAAUCCGUUUCCCGUGAAGGCUGAGCUGUGAUGGCGAGCGAAUUAUAGUAGCGAAGUUCCUGAUUCCACACUGCCAAGAAAAGCCUCUAGCGAGGUGAGAGGUGCCCGUACCGCAAACCGACACAGGUAGGCGAGGAGAGAAUCCUAAGGUGAUCGAGAGAACUCUCGUUAAGGAACUCGGCAAAAUGACCCCGUAACUUCGGGAGAAGGGGUGCUCUGUUAGGGUGCAAGCCCGAGAGAGCCGCAGUGAAUAGGCCCAGGCGACUGUUUAGCAAAAACACAGGUCUCUGCGAAGCCGUAAGGCGAAGUAUAGGGGCUGACGCCUGCCCGGUGCUGGAAGGUUAAGAGGAGCGCUUAGCGUAAGCGAAGGUGCGAAUUGAAGCCCCAGUAAACGGCGGCCGUAACUAUAACGGUCCUAAGGUAGCGAAAUUCCUUGUCGGGUAAGUUCCGACCCGCACGAAAGGCGCAACGAUCUGGGCACUGUCUCAACGAGAGACUCGGUGAAAUUAUAGUACCUGUGAAGAUGCAGGUUACCCGCGACAGGACGGAAAGACCCCGUGGAGCUUUACUGCAGCCUGAUAUUGAAUGUUGGUACAGCUUGUACAGGAUAGGUAGGAGCCUUGGAAACCGGAGCGCCAGCUUCGGUGGAGGCAUCGGUGGGAUACUACCCUGGCUGUAUUGACCUUCUAACCCGCCGCCCUUAUCGGGCGGGGAGACAGUGUCAGGUGGGCAGUUUGACUGGGGCGGUCGCCUCCUAAAAGGUAACGGAGGCGCCCAAAGGUUCCCUCAGAAUGGUUGGAAAUCAUUCGCAGAGUGUAAAGGCACAAGGGAGCUUGACUGCGAGACCUACAAGUCGAGCAGGGACGAAAGUCGGGCUUAGUGAUCCGGUGGUUCCGCAUGGAAGGGCCAUCGCUCAACGGAUAAAAGCUACCCCGGGAUAACAGGCUUAUCUCCCCCAAGAGUCCACAUCGACGGGGAGGUUUGGCACCUCGAUGUCGGCUCAUCGCAUCCUGGGGCUGUAGUCGGUCCCAAGGGUUGGGCUGUUCGCCCAUUAAAGCGGUACGCGAGCUGGGUUCAGAACGUCGUGAGACAGUUCGGUCCCUAUCCGUCGCGGGCGCAGGAAAUUUGAGAGGAGCUGUCCUUAGUACGAGAGGACCGGGAUGGACGCACCGCUGGUGUACCAGUUGUUCUGCCAAGGGCAUCGCUGGGUAGCUAUGUGCGGACGGGAUAAGUGCUGAAAGCAUCUAAGCAUGAAGCCCCCCUCAAGAUGAGAUUUCCCAUUCCGCAAGGAAGUAAGAUCCCUGAAAGAUGAUCAGGUUGAUAGGUCUGAGGUGGAAGUGUGGCGACACAUGGAGCUGACAGAUACUAAUCGAUCGAGGACUUAACCAA